rnacentral:lncRNA from 1 species
ACAAAUGUUACUUUCAUUUCAUUCAGCUUUUCUAGUUGUUGCUCUUGGAAGUAUUGGUAUUAAUAGACAGAAAUGAGAGUCCUGGGGCCACUUCUUGUAAGAAGUAAAAGUUUCAGGCAGGUGUUCAUAGCAACCAAUGAAAUAAGCAGAGGUGCUGUAGAGAACUCUGGAAAGUUCCCAGAAGGGCAGUCCUUACCAUCAAUAUCAUGAGCUGACCCUUGGCUGCAAUUGAAGAGGCUGCUGCAUCUCAGCAGAUCAGAAUCAUCUGUAAUAUCUUAUUUGAAGAGAUGAAAUGACUACAUGCUUUAUCCAGCAUCACUCCCAAGAAUGUGAAGGAGACCGCUCUUUAAUACAUCACGGAGAGACAGCUUCUUGAGCAUGAGCCAGAAAUGAGUUCCUCAUAAAAGAUCCAGGUCAGAGCAUAAGCACUGGGCCAGUGUAGCUCCAAUGUCACUGGUGUGCUGCGUCCUGCUCUUACCAGCUCAUGAAAACCUCUUGUGUGUAUCUUUUCUCAACUCUGUGUUCAGUAACAUCACAUUAGCACCAUGAAAUUGGCCAUGAUGGGAAUAUUUACACCAUGGAAAUCAGCAAGCACUAUAAAUCAGAGCCUUGUUUUACUCAGAGAGCUGAUUAUAAAACAUUAGCCAGCAUAUUACCACCCAGAGGAGGUGAAUGGCAGAACACUAGGGCCAGAUUUCAAACCCUGUAUUAGGCUUGUAUGCUGAGGGCUGACUCAGUAACAGGCAUCAUGUCAAACUCUUUGCACGUGUUCCAUCAUUUAAUCCUCACAAUAAAACUGUGAGAUCAGAUGAUGGAGAGUAGGAGAUUUUGUGUAACCUGCUUAAGACCGCAGAGCAACCUAGGUCAGUCUGGUCCUCACAUCUUUGUUCUUAACUACUGCACUAAACAUUCUCCCUGCAGCUGCACAAAAUGGGAGGACAAACCCUAGACUAAAUGGAUUGGGAGGUUUUUAGUUACUGAGGGCAGAAAACAUAGUAUGGCAGAGUCCAAGAACUGGUGUUGGAACUGAGCACAUAGCAAGUCUACAUAUGACAAUGCAAACAGACCCUGAGGCAGGGCCUACAGGUUCCCAGUGAGCAGAAAAGCAAACUCAAAUAAGCUGGGAGGCAGUAGCCAGUCUUGGAUGCAUCUGUGGCUGAUGGGCAUAGUGCAAUGACACAGGAAACUAGAAUCAGCAAUAUGACAUGGCCACAUGCCAGCAGUAGCAGGAACCUGCCCGUGGGGCUUGGCGGCAGUUCUCUGCACUCACAGUGAGUGAUUUCCAAGAGCUAUGCAUAUCUGUCAAAGGAAUUUAGGUUCUAGGUGGGUUUUUCAGUCUGGGACUUGGUGAUGAUCCAGAGUUCCUGCUUUCAGGAAGAGGCAAUUUGAUCAGAAUAGAACUAGCAGAACAGAACUCAGGAUUAUACAAAGAUUCUGCAGUGUAGAGGGGUAGAGGUUCUUAGCUACGGAGAUGUCCCUGCCAAGACCUAAAAGCUGGGAGAGAAGGGACACCCAGAAUACUGAGAACUAAGCAGGCCUGGAACAAUGCCAAGGCAGGAUACAGGUUAUCCAUAGUGUGUAAAAUCUACAUGUUUUGGAGCAUAUUUUUAUUCUUAAAAAAUAGUGCUACAGAUUAUGGUGGAUAAUGCAGGUGCCCCACCACAUCCCCUAGCUGCCGUGAAUGUUGACUGCUGGAUAGUAUUCCAUCUACCUUGCUUCUUGCUUCUCUCAUUCUUCUUUUCUUAAGAGAAGCACUUCAACAAGAAUUCUUCUCAGGCUCUGCUUUUGGGGAAAGCAACCUAAGACACAGGUUCAUGAUGCUCUCUCUGGCCACCUUCCAGACAGGAAGAAAGAGCAGAGGAUCACUGUGAGAGGAAUUUGAGGAUCAAAUCCUGAAGUGGUACAUGUCACUACUGUUCAUAGUCUCUUUGCUGGAACUUGGUCCUAUGGCCCUACUGGCAGAGAGGAAGGCUAUGAAACCCAGUCUAGGCCUGCGCCUAGAAGAAGAAGAAGAAGAAACACCUUUUGAAGAACAGAGAGCAGUCUCUGUCAUACCAGGAGUACCUGUCACAUACUUGUAGAACAAAAAUCAGUAACAUUUUAAUUAUUGAAACAAUGUAACAACUUUAAACACAGUUUCAUAACUAGGAGUGAAUCACCCAUAAUCUCAUACCCGGAACAAAAUAUCUGUUAGUAUGAUGCACCUUUACAUAGCUGUAAUCUUAAAGGGCAUGUACUUCCUUCUUUGCUUUCCUUUUUUUUUUUCUUCAUCCUUUCCCUCUCUCCCUCUCUCCCUCUCUCCCUUUCUCCCUUCCUUCUUUCUUUUCUUCCUUUCUUUCUGAUUUUCUAACUUCCUUCUUUAAACAUUCCUUGAUCGUCUGUGGGUCUGGACAGCAACAUGGAGAUCAAUUAGGCGCAGCAUUUUAAAUUUGCCCUCAAGAAGUUCCACUAGUGUAAGAGUAGGCAAGUAACCAAUUAUUACAAUAGUGGGACAAGCGCUGUGAUAGAAAUAAAUACAGAGUACUGUGGCAGUCCUUACCCAGAAAAAGAUAUCUAGGGUAGAUGGUAUCUGAACUGAGAAUUAAAGAAUAAAUAGAAGAUAGCAUGGCAAAAAAAGUUCAAGAGUGUUCCAUUCUUUGAGAAUAGGGCAUUGAGAUAGAACCUGUAGACAUGAGAUAGAACUGUGUGCAUCCUGGAAAUUGCACAUGGUUCAGAUUGAUUGGGAAAUAGAGUGUGGAUGGGAAGUGAUGAAAGCUGAGUCAGUAGAGUUCGAUGGGGGUCAAAUUGUGAAAGAGUGUGAGCUCUGCUAAGGAGAUGAUAUUUUAGCUUAAAUACCAGAAGAGCCAUUGAAUUAUUUUAAGCAUAGGAGUGAUCUAAUCGGAACUCUGCUUGAGAAAGAUAACCCUGGUUGCUGUGUGAAAAAAUAUACCAGAGGCAAACAAAGUUGAAGCCAGGAGACCAGUUAAAAGACAAAAUUCAUAAUUUAUAUGAGAUAUGAUGAUAGUUUGACUUAGGCUGUGAUUGACAUUGCAGAGUAACAUAUCGCAUUCAAGAGAUGUUUGGAUGAUGAAACCAAGAGGGCUUGGAAAUUGAUUGGAUAUGAGGCAUUAGAGGAAUAUGUUAGGGCUAGAUCCCAGGAUUCUGGUUUAGAUAAUUGGAUAGACAAUUAAAGCAGAAACUAUUGAAGAAGGGGAGAAGAUAAAGAGUUUUGAUUUUCAUUUCAAUUCUAAGGUAUUCUUGGAAAUAUAAGUAGAGGAUGCUGAUGGGGGUUGGUUAUAAAGCAAAUUCAAGAGUGAGACUUCUGGAGUUAAGAUACAUAAUCGGAUCUGUAAGAAUGAAAGAAAGAAGUUGUUCAGGGACUAUGUGUACAGUAUGAAGACCAACAUAUAAAUGAAAUAUAAAAGAACAAAAGCUGACAAUGGAGUCUGUGAAAGAGCAAACAAAAAAAUGAGGAAGAGAACAGAGCAUGAAGUCACAGAAACCAAGGGAAGAAAAUUUUAGAUGCCGAUCAAAGAUCAAGGAAAAUAAAGAUAAAAAUGUGUCAAUUAGAUUUGGUAUUAAAGAAAGCAUUAGUAUCUUUUUGAAUACAAUUUUAUGGCUGCAUGGCAAAGAAUCAGAUGACUGGAAUCAGGAAGUGAAUAGAAAGUGAGAAAUGAAAAGGGCUCUCGAUAAGGUUUCCCUUAUUGAGAUAGGAGGUAAGCUCUAAUGUUUAUUUGAAGUUUUUUUUUUUCUUCCAAAGCUGGGAAAGAUUUAAUAAAGUAUGAAUGCUUUUAAGGAAAAGUUUGUAGACAGAGAUUUUUUGACAAUAGUAGAGCAAAUCAUGGCGAAAUAAUUGAUAGGAUGAGGUCCCAAGAAAGCAAGAACACUCCUUGAGGAAGAAGCUUUCCAUUUUAACAGGCAGUAACAAAGAGCAAUGAAUCAGGAUGAGUCUACGUUUGUCAGUUUAGAGUGGAAAUUGUUGGUAGAGCUCAUGGGACAACUCCUAUUUUACUUGUGACAAAAGCUUAACUGCUGAGAGCAAACAGGGUGGUGGGAUCAGCUAUUAUUUUUAAAUGGAGAAAUUUAAAAAUCACAAUUGCGAAGUAAAAUCUUUCAAGAAAGAUAGAAGAGGAAUACUGCUUAGUGCUGUGCGCCUCUUUGAAGUCAGAGUUGAUGCAGUGACCACCAUGCCAAGGGCUGCUUCGGGGCUUUCUCCCACAGCGCUCAUUGAGCUAUGUGAGAAGGCGAAGAUGGAAAAUAGGUGAAUGACAGCACACAUAUCACACGAGUUUGGCAAGAGGAUAAGUGAGGCAAGGGUAGCAGCAAGAGAGUGAAGAAAAUGCUCAGCCAGAAAACCUAAGCUGACUAUGAAAGAAGGAAAACAGUUCCACAGACUGGAGAGUUGCAAGAGAUACAGAUUAAGCAACAGUAAUUAACUGAAGAAGAAUUAAUUAACUGAAAGAAGUAAUUAACUUCUUUCUUAGAAGAAGAAGAAAAAACGGUAAUAUCCUGAGCAUGUAUGUUUUACUUUACUAUGACAUAAAGAGUCCACGGAGAUCUAAAUAAAUAUUUGUUGAAUGAUGAACGAGUGGAUUUUUCUGUGUGCACAUAUAAACUUUCACCUGUUAUUAUACACCUAGGUUGCUUUUAUUUUCAGUUUGUUUUUGAAAUUAUCAGUAGAGUUUUUCUUUCAGAGUGUACAGUUCUAUGCUUUUAAAAUUAAUAUACAUUAUUUUUAAAGCAGCUUUACAUUUACAGAAAAAUUGAGCAGAAAGUUGAGUUUCCAUAUACUACUCCUCUCCCCCAUACCCUGCACACAGUUAACAUCUUGCAUUCAUGUGGUACACUUGUUAUCGUUAAUGAACCAAUAUUGGUAUAUUAUUAUUAAUUAAAUUCCAUAUUUUACAUUAGGGUUUACACUUUGUGUUACACAGUACUAUGGGUGUUGACAAAUAUAAAUGUUAUGUAUCUACCAUUACGAUAUCAUACAGAAUAGUUUCACUGCCUUAAAAGUCCCCCGGGCUCCACCUACUCAUGCCUACCUUCUUCUCAUCCACCCUUUUCCUAGCAACCCUUCAUCUCUUUAUUGCCUCUAUAGUUUUUUCUAAUUUGAAGUCAUAUAGUUAAAAUUGUACAGAAUAUGGCCUUUGCAGACUGACUUCAUUAACUUAGUACUAUGCAUUUAAGAUUAUUCUAUGUCUUUUUUGUGGCUUGAUGGCUCAUAUAAAAAAAUCUGAAUAAUAUUCCAUUGUAUGGAUGUAUCAUAGUGUAUCCAUUCACUUAUUGAAGAAUGCCUUGGCUGCUUCUAAGAUUUGACAGUUCUAAAUACAGCUGCUAUAAAUGUCUGUAUGCAGGUUUUUGUGGGACAUCAGUUUUCAAAUAAUUUGGGUAAAUUUACUUGGUGAUUGCUGGAUUGUAUGGUAAAAUGAUGUUUAGCUUUGUCAGAAAUCACCAGACUGUCUUCCAAAAUGCUGAAUCAUUUUGCAAAUCCCACUAUCAAGGAAUGAAUGUUUCUGUUGCUCCAUGUCCAUGUGAGCAUUGGAUGUUGUCAGAGUUUAAAAUUUUAGCUGUUCUGAUAGGUGAGCAAUGGUUUAUCAUUGUUAUUUUAAUUUGUAAUUAACUAAUGACGUGUUGUUGAGUAUCUUUUUGUAUGCUAUCUGUAAAUCUUUGGUGAAUUACUUGUUCAGAUCUUUUGCCCAUUUUAGUUGAGUUGUUUGCUUUCUUAUUUUUGAAGUUUAAGAGUUCUUUGCAUAUUUUGUAUACUAGCCAUUGGAUAGCUGAUAGGCAAUUGUUUUUUUCUCAGUCAUUCUCCUAACAGUGUCUUUGACAGAGCAGAAGUUCUUAAUUUUAAUGAAGUUCAGCUUAUCCAGUUUCUCUUCAUGGAUUGUGCU